CCAUUUUAAGAAUCUUCAAAAUGCCAUAAAGGAUGAUGAAUUUGCCAUUUUUAAUGACCUUAUAUUAAAAGUAGAGAAUUUCUUCUUUUUUUCUUUUUCAUAAAAAAAAUAAAUUUCUCUCUUGUAGAAUCUUAUAUGAUAACAAUGUUCUUUUCCUGAUUCUUUGUUCUUUUGGUUUCCUGUUGAACCUUAAAUUGUAUCGACUCGUUCAAGUUGCUGCGGUUUUCUUUUUCCCGAGUUCAAAAUCGUGAAUUGAUCUCUCCUUCACUAGAGAGUGUUUCCCCUUGGAUUCUCGGGGGGAUUUCAAUGGACGACGGGGAGCUUGAUUAUUCGAACCAAGAAGUGUUUUCUGUCAAUAACAUGGGUGACAUUCCUAGCAGUUGUUCAAUGGACAGUUUUUUCGAUGAAUUACUCAAUGAUUCUCAUGCAUGUACCCAUACACAUACUUGCAACCCACCUGGACCUGAUAACUCUCAUACACACACCUGUUUUCAUUUUCAUACCAAGAUUGUGCCUGCCUCAAGUGAAGAUAAGGCUGCUAUUGAUGGCACCGCUGUGUCUGGGGAGAAUAAAUCGAAGAAACGUCCGUUAGGUAAUCGAGAAGCUGUCAGGAAGUAUAGGGAGAAGGUUAAGGCACGAGCUGCCUCUUUGGAGGACGAGGUUGUGAGACUGAGGGCAUUGAACCAACAGCUUGUGAAAAGAUUACAGGGUCAGGCUGCAUUGGAGGCUGAGGUUGCAAGGCUAAAGUGUUUGCUUGUAGAUAUUAGAGGAAGAAUCGAAGGGGAAAUUGGGCCGUUUCCUUAUCAGAAACCAGCAACUAAUGUUAACAUGAUGAAUGUGCCUGGUGCUUAUGUGAUGAAUCCCUGCAAUGUGCAAUGCAAUGAUCAGAUGUAUUGCCUUCAUCCUGGACUCGAAGAUAAAACAGGAGAAGCCGCAGCACUGAAUGGACAAGGAUUUAAUGGUUGUGACUUUGACAAUAUUCAGUGCUUGGCGAAUCAGAACUCUACAGGUGGGAUUGGAAUUGCAGGGUUGAAUGGCAAUUAUUCUGGCACAAAAAGGAGGAAAGCUACAGCUGGCUGAAAACUGUAUGGAAGAGGGGUACAUGUUUAUGUUCCAACAAGCAAUUUUCUUGGGAUGCGUAGCCUCUUCCCCCAGGUUGUGGUUCACAUUGGAAGCUACAAAUUAGCUUGCAAUGCUUUCAGCCAUUCCUAUUCCGGUUUUGCAUGGCAUCGACAAAAGCACAUGAAGUUUGCUUUUGUCAUUCCUAUUGUUUAGGAAGGCCAGAGAUGCAAAGUGGCCGUCUUUUGACCGAGAUUUCUAUCGUCAGAUGUCUGAUGAAAACUCGUAAGUUGUAUAAAACAUUUCUAUGAUAUUCUCUUAAACUGAUAAUUAACCCCUGAGAUUAACUGAUUGCCUGCAAUUGAAACAAAAAAGGAAAGGGAAAUGUGGGUAUAUAUGAUAAGUUCAGAACAUAUGAUGGCGUGAAAAAGUAAAUAGCUAAUGCUUACUAAUAAGAAGAAAAAUGAUAUGAAUGUGUGACCUUUUUAUCUUAAUGCUGGUUUUCAUCAUUAUCAAAGAUUGUUAUAGAAAUAUGGAUGUCAUUAUCUUUGUGAAAACAUUAUUGUUUAUCAUGAUUAAAAAAACCAGUUACGGUGUGAACGCUAUAAGGACUGUUGACCCCUUUCGUGUGUGUGUGCAUGUUUUUGGCAAGUUGGUGGAUGGAUGAAGUUUGGAAAGACGGGAAAAGGUAUUGCAAUCAGUUACAAGUUUACUUAAUUUUGAAGAAUGUGAAAUGAAAAGUGAUUUUGACAAUUUUUAGUGUUCUUAAAACUAAAUUACAAUUCAUGUAUAUUUGGAUUGUUUUUGUUCAUUUCGGAAAAUAUUUUAUUCUGUUAAAUAAAUUGACUAGCUUUUUUUUUUUUAAAAAAACUGAUGCGAUUAUAUAUAUCUUGGCAUCUUUUGUAUAAUAUUAUAUUUUUCCUUUUCAUUUAUUUUUCUUAAAAUAUGCAAAAAGUUUGUCUAACUACACAAAAAAGAGAGUCAAUGUGUAUAUGUUAAGUCUUUACAAAGAUAUACAAGACAUGCUAAUUUAUUUGACAAAAUUAACCUAAAAGUAGGGCAUUUUUACGUUAAUAUUAUUAAAAAAAAUUUAAUACUAAAAUGGUAUAUCAAUAUAAUUAUAUAUAAAUUUCAUGGUAUGUUUAGGGGUGGUGCCUUUCUCAUAGGCGGCAUCACCAUUUUUUUAAAUAAAUUUUAUUUUUUAUUUUUUAUUAAAAAAUAUUAUUUUAUUAGUGGUGUCAUGUACAUAUGCGGCACCACUUGUAGAAAUUGUUCGGGUCUAGUACACGACCCGUGUACAAAUACAAAAAUGGUAUAAAAGGGGUGGUACUUAUCUGAUAGGCGGCACUUGUGACCCAUAUCUGGUAGGCAGCACUAGUGGUCCAAUUUUAGGGCUAUGUAAUGGUCCCAGUGAAGAUGAGAUGAGAAUAAGAGUUUUAAAAAAAUAACAGAAGAGAAGGAAAGAGAAAGGGAGAAGAAAGAAAGAAAGAAAGAAAAAGAAAAAAAAUGAUAAUGUAUUUUUAUUUUUAUUUUUAUUUUUAAAAUAGAAUGGAUUAUGAUGAGGAUAAAUUAUUUUGUUAGUAUUGUGUAGUUUGUUUAUUGUUAUUUUUAUGUUGUUUUUAAUUUAUUUUAAAGUUAUUUUGUUAGUUACUAUUAUAAAUUAUUUGUUUAGUUUAAUGUUUAUUGUGAUUUGUUAGGUUAUGAAUAUAAAUUUUAUUAAUUUUGUUAAUAAGUCUUGUGAUUAGGUUAAUUGUUUGUUUAGGGUUAAUUGUGAUUUGUUAGAUUACGAAUGUAAUAUUUAAUAUUUUUAAUUUAUAUGAAAUUUAUUUUGUUAGUAACUAUUAUAAAUUAAUUAUUAGUUAGUGAUGACAUUAGAGGAAACUAGAUAAAAGAUGAAAAUCGAGAAAAAAAAAUUAUUUUCUGUUAUAGAUAUUGGAAGAAAUGACAAUAAACUUGAUAUUGUUUGAUGAGAUAACAACUUCAGCACAAAAGGGAGAAAGUUGAUAAGAUGAUGAGAGAAUUACAAGAUUACAGAAUGAAACCAGGAGAAGACAUCGUUCAACACUUUGUUACCGUAAAUCAAAAGAUGCAAGAAGUGUUAUGGAAGGGACAUUAAUAGAACGGGAGUAUCAAAUCAUUUUAGACCAACUUUGGAAGACAUUGGUACCACAAACCUAUUGGAAUAUACUUAUAUACUUUGUGAAGUUUAGAAUCUCUUAUGGAGUAAGGAAAAUAGCGAAACAAAGUGUAGGUUCAUGAAAGUUGACUGGGAAGCAAAAUGUAUUUGACAUGCCAUGGAUGGAUAAAUUAGUUGUUAGGAAAUUAUCAAGAGAAUUUAUAAAUUCAAUACUCGUUAUAAAGGUUAAAGAGAAGAAGAUCCUAAGGAAUUUUCAAAUUGGAUUGUAGAAGAUGAAUUUGAAGAGAAUUCAGAAUUUAAUAUAGAGAAUUUCCUGAAUGAAGAUACAGAAUCGGAGAUGGAAGAAAACGUAGAAAUGAGUUUAAGUGGUUAAAUGUAAGGAUAAAUGUUAGAGAGUAGAGAAAGUGAAAAAAAUGAGUAAAUAUGGUUGUACAUGUACGAAAUGAGAACUGAAAAAGU